rnacentral:rRNA from 1 species
GGGACGAACGCUGGCGGCGUGCUUCACACAUGCAAGUCGAGCGGAAAGGCCCUUCGGGGUACUCGAGCGGCGAACGGGUGAGUAACACGUGAGUAACCUGCCCUUAGCACCGGGAUAGCUCCGGGAAACCGAAUUAAUACCGGAUAUGACCACGAUCGGCAUCGGUCGUGGUGGAAAGGAUUCCGGCUAGGGAUGGACUCGCGGCCUAUCAGCUAGUUGGUUGGGGUAACGCCCACAAGGCGACGACGGGUA